AUGACCACAGGCCCACCUGGAAGAGAUGGGUAGAUUAUAUUUCAACCUUGGUUGUUUAUAUUUGAACAGUGCAUCAUAUAGAUUUCAGUACCUUGAGUUAAAGAAUGCUGCAAUAUUAUUUUAGUCUUUCUAACUUUAGAUAGUAGCCUAUGUUGAACUUUAGAAACGCCGUGGAACUAAUUGACCAACAUCAGUGAGUCCGCGCGGAUUAAUUGUAUCUUUGUUGGACGUCGGAUAUUAUUCCUGUUGGCACCAGUUGAAAACCGAGACCCCAACCAUUGUGAGCGCGGGCUGAAAAAGCCCACGUCCUUUCUGGAGAUGAAAAGCGAGAACCAGAGUAGACAGACCAAGCAUAAUGUACAGAAUAAGUCCAAGAGUCCAAAAGUCACCAGAAGACUGAAAAGGUGCCUUUGGCUUUUCCCACCUCUUGACUUGGAGGAGGAUGCAGCUACGGUCCCUGUGUCUGACUCCACCAGAGAACCACCAGAGACCAGGAUGUCAAAGAAGAAGAAGACUUUCCCCAGACUACCUGUCACACAGGAUGCAGAGAAGUUUCAUGAUGGCCCAACUAACAC